AUGCAUCAACUACAAGAAAAAGUGAUCAGAAGUUGGUUUCUCCGAGUGGUGCAACUCCUGCAGUGCCCAAAAAAGAGGAAUACAAGAAUUUCCAAGAGAAAUCUGACUGAACAUCCAGUGAGUCCAAGCCCAACUCAGACUGUGGCCAGACAAAUGGAAAUCCAUCUGUCCAUCAAAAAUGGAAAUCUUGAUUCCCUCUGGUAAGCAGAGGGGUCAGGAGGAGACAUGGAAUUUCUCAGCCCUUUUUGUCAUCAUGUGUCAUCUUGGUGCUGCAAGCUUUGAACCUGUGAACUGUUUGUAGUUAAAUAUGUAAUGGGUUUUUGAGUAAAGUGAGUAUUAUUGAUGGGUGACUAAUUUGAGUAAAGUGCUCAUUGAAGGGUGCUGGGACCCAGAGAAAUGAAUGAGGUUUGACUGAUGCAGUCAAACUGGAAUUGCAGACAAAUCAGUUCAAGAAGCAUGUACAAUUUCAACUCAUUUUGCUCAU
rnacentral:lncRNA from 1 species